rnacentral:ncRNA from 1 species
UUCCCGUAGUCGGAUUGAACGGAGUCCGGUGGCGAUAACCGGGCGGGAG